AAAUUGAAGAGUUUGAUCAUGGCUCAGAUUGAACGCUGGCGGUAGGCCUAACACAUGCAAGUCGAACGGUAACAGGAAGAAGCUUGCUUCUUUGCUGACGAGUGGCGGACGGGUGAGUAAUGUCUGGGAAACUGCCUGAUGGAGGGGGAUAACUACUGGAAACGGUAGCUAAUACCGCAUAACGUCGCAAGACCAAAGAGGGGGACCUUCGGGCCUCUUGCCAUCGGAUGUGCCCAGAUGGGAUUAGCUAGUAGGUGGGGUAACGGCUCACCUAGGCGACGAUCCCUAGCUGGUCUGAGAGGAUGACCAGCCACACUGGAACUGAGACACGGUCCAGACUCCUACGGGAGGCAGCAGUGG
rnacentral:rRNA from 1 species